UUUAUGGUUAAGAGUAAAGAUCCUUUCUUCUCAAUCCUGUCACUUGGAGUUUUUGUAUAUAUAUAUAUAUAUAUAUAUAUAUAUAUAUAUAUAUAUAUUAGCAUACCUUUUGAUCCUCAUAGGUUCUCUCAGAUCACUCAUUAUCUUUUAUAUAUCUCACUGAGGUUGUUUUAAUUUUGCAAAAAUUCUCAAGCAUACUUACUUUGCAUUUAUUGCCUGAUCAAAACGGGAUCCGAGGAGGGGAAUGUCAUACUCUUAGAUCAAAGACUUUGAAAAUUAAAAUCUUUGUCAACUCUUGCUGGCAUAUUGCUUAUUAGAGAGACCAUGGGCUAUCAUUUUCUCUUUUUCUUCUCUUUUUUUUAAGUUGAUACCGAAGUACCCCUAUUUCUACUGCCGGACACUUGUCCAUUUUUUUUCUGCGAGGUUGUCGAGCACUUGCUUCUUUUUAUUUCCUCAAAAUAUCUCUAUUUUUGCAUAGCCCAUGCCUCUAAUGCAAUAAUACUUCGGAAGAGUGAAUCUUUCUGAAUAAAUGUCUUGAUCUUAGGAGCAUGAUAAACCUCUCAACAAGGGUCUAACUCAUUUUGAACAAACUCAAUACAGAGUAGAUAGCUUUUAUAAUCAUAAUCAAUAUUUUCAGUUUUAUCAGGCAUAUAAAACACUGAGGAUGGUAGCUAAAAUUUUGAAUAUUUUGAAAUAAAUUCUCCAAGCAACAAUGAUAUCAAGAAUAAGAAACUCAUACUCUACCAUCACAUAUUCCGCAAUGACUUAAGUAACACAGGGUUUUAAAAUGAUUUUAUAAUAAUUGCAAGUUUUCAGGAAAUAUCACAGAUUGAGAUUAAUCAUGAUUAGAAAUAUUUUAAUCUUUUUAAUUUAUCAUGUCGGAAACAGUAAUCUGCAUAAUCUAAAAUAUGUGUAUGUGUAAAGUAAAGUGUGCAGAGUGUGUACCUGAAUCGUGGAGUGGUGUGGUCGGAGUGUGUUUGGCAUGUCGAGGGAUCUCCCCCAUACUUGUUUUCUGCUUUCUUGCACAAAAAAUAAAGUAGAGACACACAAGACAUAAUAAUAAUAAUACUCUUUAUUAAUCUUGAGGCAUUUAUUACAAAAGACUAGUAGCA
rnacentral:lncRNA from 1 species